rnacentral:misc_RNA from 1 species
GACGAGCUCUCCAAACGUUAUUCGGUAUCACUGGGCUUAAAGAGUUCGUAGGUGGUCUGGUAGGUGAGGUGUGAAAUCCCCCGGCUCAACCGGGGAACUGCGCUUCAAACCGCCGGACUUGAGGGAGACAGAGGUGGGCGGAACAGAUGGUGGAGCGGUGAAAUGCGUUGAUAUCAUCUGGAACACCGGUGGCGAAAGCGGCCCACUGGGUCUCAUCUGACGCUGAGGAACGAAAGCUAGGGUAGCGAACGGG